rnacentral:ncRNA from 1 species
GGAACGAACGGGUAAACCUUGAGUGAUCAAGGGGCACAAAGCCACGGGUCUUAAGAAGCGCGAAAUUCGCGGAAAAAAGACCGCGGAUUAAAAGCAAAAAAGACAGCCGGGUUGCCGAA